AGUGGUUAAAAUGCCACCCACAAGAGAUGCCAAAUAUUUGUUUUGCCAUUUGGGCCAAUUAUUACCAUUUCCACCUAAUUUUGUACUCGGUCUUACCAAAAUGCCUUCGGUCGGUUAUAACAAACUGAGUUGGUUGAGUCAUUCCGACUCACCGCCGCCUCGGCGUUGGGAUGCGGCCGUGGUGCGCUGCGCAGAUGAUGGGGAGAACGAUGCGGCCGUGGAGCGGGUGGGUGACGACGACAAGGUCUUGAAGCGGAGGGGCACCAUCCUGCCCGUCGGCCGUUACGGCUCCGGUGGCGACACGGCGAGAGUGCGCGGGGCGACCGCACCGGCGCCGGCGCUGACACAGGACGCCGCCUCCAGCAAGAAUGGAGCGCUUCUCAGCGGCGGCGACAACGACACACCUGUCUCACAGAACGGAUCGGUCAUUACCGGCGUAGACAAACCUGCCACCGCCGCCGCCUCCACGCCGCUGGUGACCAUACCGAAGCUCCCAGCGCCAGACUCCCCCGUGAUCCUUCCAUCCGUAGAUAGGCCGCAGCCGGAAUUCGUCAUCCCAGACGCGGCGUAUCUAGGAGCUCCAGCGCCGUCGCUCUCCUCUCCUCGCCGGUGGCCGCGAGUAGCGUCGACAGGGGCACAACAGUGGCAAGGCUGUCACGCUGUGUGGCUAUCUCCCGUCGCGCCGCUCUCCUCCUCCUUGUCGGCUGUCGUCGCUCUCCUCCUCCUCGUCGGCGGCCGUUGGGCUAGGAGCUCCUGCGGGGUCUACGCCAUCGGAUUUUUCUAG
rnacentral:lncRNA from 1 species